rnacentral:SRP_RNA from 1 species
GCCAGAGGUGGUGUUGUAUACCUGUAAUCUCUGCUACUAGGGGACACUGAGGCUGAAAGAGCAUUGGAGUUUGGGAGUUCUGAGCUUCAGGAGGGCUAGAGUCAAUCAGGUGUGUCCACACUAAGUCUAGCACCAAUAGGGCAAGCCCUUGGGAGCAAGGGCCACCAGGCUGCACAAGGAGGGAGUAAAGUAGCUCAGGUUGGAAACUGAGUAGGUCAAAGCUUCCAUGCCAAUCAGCACUGGGAUCCUAACCAUGAUUGGCCAUCAUACUUCCAGUCUGGAUGAGAUAAGGAGAU